GUGCACGCUGGCGGUAGGCCUCACACCUGCCAGUCGAACGGCAGCACCGUAAGAGCUUGCUCUUACGGGUGGCGAGUGGCGGACGGGUGAGGAAUACAUCGGAAUCUACUUUUUCGUGGGGGAUAACGUAGGGAAACUUACGCUAAUACCGCAUACGACCUACGGGUGAAAGCAGGGGAUCUUCGGACCUUGCGCGAUUGAAUGAGCCGAUGUCGGAUUAGCUAGUUGGCGGGGUAAAGGCCCACCAAGGCGACGAUCCGUAGCUGGUCUGAGAGGAUGAUCAGCCACACUGGAACUGAGACACGGUCCAGACUCCUACGGGAGGCAGCAGUGGGGAAUAUUGGACAAUGGGCGCAAGCCUGAUCCAGCCAUACCGCGUGGGUGAAGAAGGCCUUCGGGUUGUAAAGCCCUUUUGUUGGGAAAGAAAAGCAGCAGGUUAAUACCCCGCUGUUCUGACGGUACCCAAAGAAUAAGCGCCGGCUAACUUCGUG
rnacentral:rRNA from 1 species